rnacentral:miRNA from 1 species
CAGAGUCUUAUAUAUUACCUACCCUUCAAACUACUAGCCAAAAUAUGCUAGUAGUUUGAAGGGUAGGUAAUAUAUAAGACUCUGAAGAUUUG